GAAAUAGCUACCACUUCUACGGAGGGCAGCAGGCGCGCAAAUUGCCCAAUGUCAAAAAAAAACGAUGAGGCAGCGAAAAGAAAUAGAGCCGGCAGUGCCAAUGGCAUUGCCGUUUUCAAUGGGGGAUAUCUAAACCCAUCCAAAAUCGAGUAUCAAUUGGAGGACAAGUCUGGUGCCAGCACCCGCGGUAAUUCCAGCUCCAAAAGCGUAUAUUAAUGCUGUUGCUGUUAAAGGGUUCG
rnacentral:rRNA from 1 species